rnacentral:rRNA from 1 species
GAGGUUUGAUCGUGGCUCAGAACGAACGCUGGCGGCAUGCCUAACACAUGCAAGUCGAACGGGAUCCGGACUUCGGUUCGGUGAGAGUGGCGGACGGGUGAGUAACGCGUGGGAACCUGCCCAGUGGUGGGGGAUAACUGCGGGAAACUGCAGCUAAUACCGCAUGAGCCCGAGAGGGGAAAGAUUUAUCGCCAUUGGAGGGGCCCGCGUUCGAUUAGGUAGUUGGUGAGGUAAUGGCUCACCAAGCCGACGAUCGAUAGCUGGUCUGAGAGGAUGAUCAGCCACACUGGGACUGAGAUACGGCCCAGACUCCUACGGGAGGCAGCAGUGGGGAAUAUUGGACAAUGAGGGCAACCCUGAUCCAGCAAUGCCGCGUGAGUGAUGAAGGCCUUCGGUUGUAAG